rnacentral:rRNA from 1 species
UACGUAGGGACCGAGCGUUGUCCGGAAUCAUUGGGCGUAAAGAGCGUGUAGGCGGCCACUUAAGUCCUGCGUGAAAUCUUGCGGCUCAACCGCAAGCGGUCGUGGGAAACUGGGUGGCUAGAGUUCGGUGAGGGGAGACUGGAAUUCCUGGUGUAGCGGUGGAAAUGACGCAGAUAUCAGGAGGAACACCGAUGGCGAAGGCAGGUCUCUGGGCCGAUACUGACGCUGAGGAGCGAAAGCGUGGGGAGCGAACAGG